rnacentral:rRNA from 1 species
GACGAACGCUGGCGGCGUGCCUAAUACAUGCAAGUUGAACGCUUCUUUCUUAUCGAACUUCGGUUCACCAAGAAAGAGGAGUAGCGAACGGGUGAGUAACACGUGGGUAUCCUGCCCAUCAGCGGGGGAUAACACUUGGAAACAGGUGCUAAUACCGCAUAAUGCUUUUUCUCACAUGAGAGAAAGCUGAAAGGCGCUUUUGCGUCACUGAUGGAUGGACCCGCGGUGCAUUAGCUAGUUGGUAGGGUAACGGCCUACCAAGGCAACGAUGCAUAGCCGACCUGAGAGGGUGAUCGGCCACACUGGGACUGAGACACGGCCCAGACUCCUACGGGAGGCAGCAGUAGGGAAUCUUCGGCAAUGGACGAAAGUCUGACCGAGCAACGCCGCGUGAGUGAAGAAGGUUUUCGGAUCGUAAAACUCUGUUGUUAGAGAAGAACAAGGAUGAGAAGAGAAUGU